GACGAACGCUGGCGGCGUGCUUAACACAUGCAAGUCGAGCGGUAAGGCCCCUUCGGGGGUACACGAGCGGCGAACGGGUGAGUAACACGUGAGCAAGCUGCCCUUCACACGGGGAUAACUUCGGGAAACCGGAGCUAAUACCCGAUACGACCACCUCGGGCAUCCGAUGGUGGUGGAAAGCUCCGGCGGUGAAGGAUGAGCUCGCGGCCUAUCAGCUUGUUGGUGGGGUAACGGCCCACCAAGGCAACGACGGGUAGCCGGCCUGAGAGGGUGAUCGGCCACACUGGGACUGAGACACGGCCCAGACUCCUACGGGAGGCAGCAGUGGGGAAUAUUGGGCAAUUGGCGAAAGCCUGAUACAGCAACGCCGCGUGAGGGAUGACGGCCUUCGGGUUGUAAACCUCUUUCAGCAGGGACGAAGCGCAAGUGACGGUACCUGCAGAAGAAGCACCGGCCAACUACGUGCCAGCCGCCGCGGUAA
rnacentral:rRNA from 1 species